rnacentral:lncRNA from 1 species
GGCUAGGGGUCUCAUCGGAGCUGCAGCCACCAGCCACAGCCACAGCCAUGCCAGAUCCAAGCCGCACCGGUGACCUACACCACAGCUCAAGGCAACGCCGGAUCCUUAACCCACUGAGCGAGGCCAGGGAUCGAACCCGCAACCUCGUGGUUCCUAGUUGGAUUCGUUUCCUCUGCUCCACGGCAGGAACUCCCAGGAUUACCCUCUUUUGCUGCAAAGCCAUUCUACUUUCUGCUUUAUCCAAAAUCUCUAUUGUCACCUCACUAACAAUUUAAAACGGUGGAUGCAUAAUAAUGAAAUACAGAAGAAUAUAGAAGACCUAUAAGAACUAUUCCAUUUUCAAGCAGAAUUUAGAUUAAAAAAUGUGAAGAAACAGGACUUGCUGGCUUCAAAUAUAAAAUUGUGUCCAUGCUCCUUUCUGGCAGGAGUCUCAAAGUACUAAUAGGCGUUCAGGCUACCAGUAAAAUGAGGGAUCAGGUUAAGAUUAGACAGAAGGUACAGGCACAAGACCCUUUGUUGAGCUCUCAAAAGGUUUGAUGAGUGCCUUAUAAACUACCACAUGUAGUCAAAAUGUUUCCUAAGAAUCUUAAGGAUGCUGUCCUACGGCCCUGUCUUACAGCCUAAGAAAUGUGAGAAUGUUGAAUAUAACUUGAUACACAGGAAACCCACUAAGUUUUGAAAAGAAUUACAUUGGCUUGAACUAAAAGGACAGAGACAGUUCACCAUAAAAAGAGGCCUCUGAGCCUUCAGUUUCCUAAAGGGAAGAAGCAGACUGAUGAAGCUACUCAGACACAAACAGGAGUCUUUAUUAUUAAAAAAAAGAAAGGUGACUCAGAAGACAGAAUCAAAAGCUACAGGGAACCACUCCCAGGGAGAAAGCCUGGCAGCUUCGACAUUCGUGUUCUGGGAGAAGUCAGCCACCAUGUAAGAAAUCCAGCUACCCUGAAGACCAACAUGCUGUGGGGAAGUUCAAGCUAACCACACAUGAAGAGGCCACCUGCAGGAAAAUUGAGGAGCCAAGCCCUCAGUGGGAACUGAGGCCCCAGACAUCUGAAUCAAGUCAAGUCAUUCUUGCACGAUCCCAGCUGCAUGAGCAUCUCAUGCUGGUGCCAGGCAGAGCAGAAAUGAGCUGUUCUGGCCAAGCCUUGCUCAAUAUAUACAAUCGUGAGCGAAUAAUAAGCUGAUGUCUUAAGUCAUCAAAUUCGGGGACAUUUUGUUAUGCAGCAGUAACUAGCAGACGAGCUUAGCAUUAUAGAUAGGUAAGGAGUCUUUGGGGACAGGUUGUCUUGGGAUCCAGGCCCUGCUCAUGUGAAUGUCCUCCCAUGAAAACACCCUCCCUCUCACAGCCAUCACCAUGCAUGAGAGCAUUUGAAUUGUAAUGGGAAGAGGGAGGACCGAGAGAGGAGGAGCGAGGAAGACAGGAUAUGGUCUGACCUCUGUGUUAUCUUGUCAGCCUCUUGGACUGAUUAGAGAUGUGGAACCCAAAGCUGAAUCAGUCGUAGGAAUGAGAGAUGUUGUGAGUCUGGGGAGGGCUGAAGGCCCAGGCUGCCAGAACCAUCCCUGAGAGAUUUUCUAGAACCUGAUCUAGUCUGAGACCCAGAACAGAGAGGAAGCCAUGAUUGUCAUUCCCACAUGUUCUGCUCAAGCUGGGCCCCUCCCAUUUCUCAUGCCAGGGAUCUCCAGUACCCAUACCCAGCCCUGAUGUACAGUAUGACCAAAAUGACUCAGAGAGGGUAAGUAAUCUGCUCAAGGUCACACAGCUGUUAAUGGCAGAGGUAGGCUUUGAACCCAAACAGACUGACUCCUAUGCCCUGACCCAAGACAAACCUUGAUUCCAUGAGAGAGGUGGGUGCCUCUAAGUGUCAGCCCUCAAGGCUUUUUAAUUCAUUUCAUAGUAAUUCAUCAUAAAAUUCAUAUGAAUUUUAUUCAGAUUAUUUACUGCAAAAAAAAAUUUUUUUUUUUUUUGCUAUUUUCGCAAGCUGUCAAAGAUUAAAUGGAAGCAAGAUUGGUGUUCCUCACUUUGCUCAGAUGAUUUCAUGAACUUCCGUGGCUCACCUUGCAUCGUACUUACCUGUUCUAGGAUGAUGGGAUGGUGUUGGAUAAGGGGUAGGAAGGAACAAGGCCCCAGGAGGCAUGGCUUCCUUCCCUGCUGCCCUUCCCUGCAGCCUGCUCACUGUGACCUCUGCAGUGACUUUGCUCGUGUUGGCCCUGCCACUGGAGUUGACCUCUCACCUCUUGCUUCAGGCAGUGUUGCUGCAUAACAUAGUGCUCCAGAUGUCAUAGCUCAAGACGACAACUUACUUUUUAUGCUCAUGGAUUCUGUGGGUCAGGAAUUCAGUCAGGGCAUCGUGAGGAUGGUUUGUUUCUGCUGCAGGAUGCUUGAAGCCUCAGCCAGGAAGCCCCAAAGGCUUGGGGUGACUUGCAGCUGGAGGCUGGAAUUGGGGAGCAUCAGAAGGCACCUUCACUCACAUGUCUGGUACCUGGGAAGACCCGAAGACUGCUAGCCAGACACCUACUGCAGGAAGCCCAUGCCGCUUGGGCUUCCUCACGGCAUGGCAGCCUCGGAGUAGCUGGACUGCUUAUAUGGCAGCUGGGGCUCCAAGUGCGAGUGAUUCAGUGACAAAGAAGACGCUGCCUCCCAUGUUACCAUGCUGCCUCGGCAGUCACCCGGGACCCCUUCCACUGUAUUCUCUUGAUUGAAGCAGCCCCAAGCCCCCUACCCCAUAUCAAGGAGAAGGGACAUAGACCUCACCUCUCAAUGGGAGGAGCAUUAAAAUAACAGAGUGGAAGAAUCUGUGGGUUAGGAGAUAUCGUUGGCCGCCAUCUUUGGAUAACACACCCUGCGAGUCUGCUCUCUGACCGCAGUCCUAUCCUCCUUCCGGCCCUCCCAUGCUUAAUUCAAGCCCCCCACUCCAGGAAGCCUUCUCUGAUCCCUGCAACUCUAUUUUCUCUCUGUAAGUUCUACUGCAGAUCACAGAGUGGUGGAGGAGUCGUAGUCCUAGCGCUCCUAGUGGUGCAAAGGAAUGCAAAGCCAGAGACGUUAGCGUACUCGCCAGAGCCACACCAGUAAUAAGAGGCAGAGCCAGAGUUGCAACCCAGUCAGCUGCGGCGUCUACCUCUCCCCAGCCUCCCAGCCUGGUAAGUGAGUAGCUCUUACUUUUUAUAUCACAGUUCAUUCUCCCUAGCCCGUCUGAAACGGCUAUACUCCUUGGCACCACCACGAUCCGUGGCAUGGGACUAGGUUCACCCCCACCCUCGUCGAAGGAUUUGGAAAUGUACAUCCCUUACUGACAGCAACCCCCCACCCUAGAGCUGGACACGUUCACCAGGGCCAGCGUGCCCAUUCCUGCAGCCGACCUCUGACCCCAGUCUGGGCCAGGCAGACACUGACUGCAGAGCUUAAAAAAGAGUUUCAAGAGAAUCAUUUCAUGGGAGUCCCCUGGUGGCUCAACGAGCUAAGGAUCUGGCAUUGUCGCUGCUGUGGCUUGGGUCAUUGCUGUGGCAUGGGUUCAGUCCCUGGCCUGGGAACUUGCACAUGCCAAGGGUACAGCCAGAAAAAAAAGCAGAGAGAGAGAGAGAAAGAAUCAUUCCAUGCCAGAGUCCCCUGAAGAGGGGAGGGCGCUGGAAGCUGAUGGCCAACAAGGAUGUCCCAAGUGCCUGCACAGACACACCAAAACACCAAAGGGAGAGAAGUUGCUAGAUGGAGAAGUAAAAAUUAGAUUUCAAGUUGGUUUUAAUUCCGGCCUCCAGGAGUCCUGGGGACCAGAGUUGAGAGAGAGAAAUGAUUUAGAAAUGCGGGGUUUUUAUGGGCAGCGGGGCCUCUUGCAGCCUGAGCAGGCAGAUCGAGACAUCCCUAAACAGCUAAGGAGCAAACCCCAGAUAGAGCGCACCGCCCACCAGGACUAAGAGCGUUCUGGACCAGGGAGGCCCUGAGCCACAUGGAAGUGAUUCGGGGCAGAACAGACUGCGCCCGGGCACUUUAUAUCUGAACAAAAGCAUUCCACGUGCACGCAAAAGUGGCUUCAGCAAAAGAACAGCUUUUCCUGACUUGCCAUUCAGGCCCGUAAAUUAACGCCUUCGACCUUUCCCUCAAAGCCGCCUGGCCCCCGAAGUGGCCUUGGUCUUGGAGGUGAAGAGGAGGGCGUUCAAUAUUAGCCAGAAUGUCGGCAAUUCUUGGCUGCCCAGCGCCUGAAAGCACGUCUUCCGUCAGCCGUGGCCAGUCUGCGUGACUCUGGAGAAGCAAAGGGCAGUGAGGGCAAUGACCUUGGCCUUAGGCCGUGGGAGCGGGAAGAAAUGUGGAGGUGGGCAGAUAACUUUAUCAUCCUUAAUGGGCUACUUAACUCCUCAUGGAAGGGGUCCAGGGGCUCCCAGGGGCACACCCUGAGCAGCCAAUGGCAGCGUGGGCAGCCGGAGCCAAAGGUGGGUGCCUGAGUUUGGGUUGCCCCAGAAGCCAACCCCGAGACAAAGACAUGAGUGCAAAUGAGUCAUUUAUUUGGGAAAUGCGAGAAACACUGGUAGGGGAGCAGGGAAGGGAGACGGCGAAGGGAAGGCAGCCAAUAACGGAUGCGUUAUCAAGCCAGCUGGCACUGUCGGCAGCUGGAGCUUCGUCCCACUGGGGGAGCUAGGGAAGAGCAAGAUCAGUGCUUCUCAAGGUAUCCAGGUCAAGGCCAGGCUUGUUGGUGUUGCUAUCAAUCCGCUGUAGAUGGAUAUUUUUCGUCAAGUACGAAUACAGAUGCCACAGCAAGGUCAAAUUGCUCUAAUGGUUCCCAAAACCAAGACUCUUUCUUGGCAUACUUUUCUCAAAGUAAAGGAGUAGCGAACAUUUCCUAGCUUUUCACCGGUCCGGGGACCACACUUUGAGUCGCACUGGCAUAGAACACACUCCUCCAAGUUAUCCCCCCCUCCCAACGGAGCUGGGCUCUUAUGCAUCAAGCCCCAUUGGUCAUUGCUGUAGGGCGGUGUUUGAGGGUGGGGGGUCAUUGCUCUGGGCACACAGGCAGAGGAGUGUUGUACCGUUUCUAGAAAGCCAUGGGGCAAAGAGAUACAGAAACUGGCAUCUGGGAAGACAGCCUGAAACCACCCACUGAGGGAAGAGGGCAGAGCAUCGACGGCAUCUCCUCCAGAGGGGCCCAUCCCAUCCUUUCCCGCAUGUUGCCCUGGGUAGCAACCCGCUGGAGCUUGAGGCAAGAGCAAAGCAGAGGGUAGAUGGGCAUGCUUAGAAAGCAGGGAGCCCCGAACCCCAAGGCAGGACUUGCCUAUGGCUAAGCAGUGGUUUUAUAUGUGGGAAGGCAGUAACGGGGGACCCUGUCAUAGCUGCCCAGUCUAGCAUCUGAAUUCGCCUCUUAUCCAAGCACUGUUAAAAAAAAAAAAAAAAAACCAGCACCCCAUGUCGGCUCUGAUAAACCCCGACCCGCCAAGGGGCGAUUUUUCUUGACCUGAGGCUGUUUGGUUUGCUCCCGCCUGGAGCUUGUGCUGCGCACGUGCCUCCUGCUGUGGGCUUGUCUUCUGGGGGACCUGGCAGCUAUUUCUGGUUGUGCCAUAAACCCUUGACCUGCAAGUUGUAGGCGCGGCGUGACUGUGAUUGUGGCAGGGAUCGGGGGAUUGAAGAGUCUAUCUGUCAGCCACCCAGGUGUCCUCAGAGAGAAGCCAGACCAGCCUGGCCACCCUGCUGUCAGCAGCACUCCCGGGACAGCUCAUUUUCGGGGCACGCAGGAAAAUGAGGCUAACAGAAAGGCUAAAACGACAAUAGCAUCAAGAAGGGAUCCCUCUGGACUCCACCUGGCAUUGACCUUCUGCUGGGCCCUUUAGACACCCUAUUUUAUGGUCCCCUGAACACUUCUGAGAUGUGUGUUACAGUAACUGAGAGUGACAGCUCAGCUCUCGCACUGCCUGAGUCUGGACGCUGGAUCUGCCACCUCCAAGCUGUGUGACUUGGGGUGCCUCAGUCGCUUCAUCUGUCAAGUGGGGUUCUUCCUACCUCCUCGAGUUGUUAGUGUGUGAAAUGAGCUAGUAUCUGUGAAGGGCUUAGAUCGGGUGAGGCCUGGCGUCCUGGAUCCACCCUGAUCAGGCCCCCAGCUCAGCUUGCUGGCAGCUGCCGGGCCUCGGGCCGUAGGGCCCCAGCUCUCUGGGGAAGUGACUAGUAGCAGGUCGGCUGCCCCCCUACCCCCGCCCCGCAGCACAGUUUCACUGCUGUCACACAGAUGGCAGCCAAAGAAAGGAGUGUGACUAAAACUUUCCAUUUUCGGCUGUUGGCUCUGUGAUAACAUGCAGGCCCCAGACCGAGGGUUUCCGCCAACUGUGGCUGCCGCUGCCACCACUCCUGUUAUUGGAACCUAGAAACUUACGCUCACUGCCUCAAAGGCCAGGAGGCUUUCCACCUCAGGGACAGACCCUGUGAUCAUGGUUGUCCUCUUAAGCUCUUUGGAACCUGUUUCUUGGCCACAUUCCUCACAGUAUAGGGUGCCCAAGGGGAUGAUGGGAUGCAAACCAUUCCCACAUCAGAUAGGUUAAGGUCAAAGGUUCACAGAUCCGCCUUAUCCAGCCCAGAGUCACGCAUAAUCCAGGCCUCGGUAAUCAUUUCCAGUUUCCUAAUUAGUUCGCCUUUAUUUCCAGCCACGGUUCAGGGUGCCAGAUAAAAUACAGGCCGCCCGGUUAAAUUUGAUUUUCAGAUAAACAAUGAGGUUUUUUUCGUACAGACAUCUACUCCCAGUAUUGCAUAGGACAUACUAAAAAUGCAUCCAUUGUUUACCUGAAAUCCGAGUAUAAUAUUGUAAUAAAUACAGGUCAUUCUGGAGUAAUUUGCAAAAUCUGGCAACCCUCCUCCGGGGCCGCAGAGCGGGUCUUGGUGUCAUCAAUAAGCCUGGUCCCCUUCUGUGUCAAUUUAGGUGCUGUAAUAGAAUGCCAUAGACUGGGGGACUUAUAAACAAUAGACAAUAGGCAUUUGUUUCUCACUGUUCGGGAAGCUGGGAAGUCCAAGGUCAAGGCACCAGCAGAUUCUGUGUCUGCUGGGGGCCCUCUUCCUGGCUUAUGGAUGGCCAUCUGCCCCUGGUGUCCCUCACAAGGUAGAACAAGCUAGGCAGCUCUCUGGGGGUCUCUUUUAUAAAACCACUAAUCGCAGAGUUCCUAAUGUGCCUCAGCGGGUUAAGAACCCGACAUUGUCUCCGUGAGGACACGGGUUUGAUCCCUGGCCUCGCUCAGUAGGUUAAGGAUCCAGCGUUGCCCCAAGCAGCAGUGUAGGUCACAGAUGCGGCUCAGAACUGGUGUUGCAGUGGCUGUGAUGUAGGCCAGUGGCUACAGCGCUGAUUCGAUCCCUAGCCUGGGAACCUCCAUAUGCUGAGGGUG